rnacentral:lncRNA from 1 species
GUAGAUCAAGAUUUUAAAAAAAAAGGAACUCUAGAGGAAGCUCUUUAUAUUGAAUAUAUUGUUCACCCUAGAGGCGGUAAGAUAUAUAAAGAUUUAAGGGAGUUAUAUUGGUAGAAUAGUAUGGAGAGGGAGAAUGCACAAUUUGUUGCACAAGGUCUAGUUUAUUAGAAGGUAAAGCUUGAGCACCAAAGGUUAGCAGGUUCACUAUAGCCUCUUUCUGUCUUUGUAUAGAAGUGAGAGCGUAGCGUAUAACUACGAGCUUCGUAACAAGGCUACUUAGGACUCUCAAACAAAAUGAUGUUAUUUGGGUGAUAGCAAAUAGAUUGAAGAAGUUAGCAUACAUCUUUUGCCUAUUAUGGUCGGUCUUUUCUCUCGAAAAGCUAGCGAAGCCAUGUGAUAAUGAGAUGGCGAGGUUUCACGGUACUCCUGAAUCUAUUAUAUCCAAUAGGGAAGAAAGAUUUUCAUCUCCAAUUGGAACUUAUAUCAGGCCAUACAGACCAAAUUGAAAUUUAGUACAAUCUCUUAGCCUCAAAC